UGUCUAUAUCAUAUUGAAACACCGGUUAUCAAACAAUCAUGAAAGUUAAGCAAUGCCGAGCCUGAUCAGUACCUCGGUGAGUGACCACCAGGGAAUACCAGGUGCUGUAAG